AAAACCUUCAAGAUUCACACAUUUUAUUUGCGUAGUUUUUUUAUUUGCGUUAUUUUGAGUUGAACCUGUAUAAAUGGUGAGUUCCUUUAUUUUUUAUUUAAACAUAUUUUCACAGCGUUUGCGCUAGGAGCAAUUGCUCAUCAAGAGAGCUGAGCCGCGAAAUGCUGAGUUUCGUUCGGAUGCAAGGAAAUGUAAUGGGUUUUUCGAAUUUUU